AUUGAACGCUAGCGGGAUGCUUUACACAUGCAAGUCGAACGAGGGGGGGAAGUGUGAGAAAUAUAUGGGAACGGCCGCAGUAGCGGGGGAUAACUACUCGAAAGAGUGGAUAAUACCGCAUACUAUUGGGGCGGCCGAUAUUGGAUUAGCUAGUUGGUGGGGUAAAGGCUCACCAAGGCAACGAUCCGUAGCUGGUUUGAGAGGAGGACCAGCCAAACGGGAACUGAGACACGGCCCAGACUCCUACGGGAGGCAGCAGUGGGGAAGUUUGUACAAUGGGGGAAACCCUGAUCCAGCCAUGCCGCGUGUAUGAGAAGGCCUUCGGGUUGUAAAGUACUUUUGGCAGAGAAGCGGUAUCUGCAGAAUAAGCACCGGCUAACUACGUGCCAGCAGCCGCGGUAAUUC
rnacentral:rRNA from 1 species